rnacentral:rRNA from 1 species
UAGUCAUAUGCUUGUCUCAAAGAUUAAGCCAUGCAUGUCUAAGUAUAAAAGUAUUCUAUACUUGAAACUGCGAAUAGCUCAUUAAAUCAGUUAUAGUUUAUUUGAUGGUGCCUUACUACAUGGAUACCCGUAGUAAUUCUAGAGCUAAUACAUGCCAAAAAAACCCGACCUUCCGGAAGGGUUGUAUUUAUUAGAUAAAAAACCAAUCCUCGCAAGAGGACUCGUGUUGAUUCAUAAUAACUGUUCGAAUCGCAUGCCGCAAGGCGGCGAUAGAUCAU